AUGAAUGUGAAGUACAGGGCACGAGCAUGUGUUUGUGAUCGCGCACGUAGGGCCGGUAUUUUAAUCGGGAGCGGGUACGUGCGCGUACACGUCUUUUUCGUUGUGUGGCGGCGUAGAGAAGCGCAAAUAGAGUAACCAUGGCUGACGAGAAACCCAAGGAGGGAGUGAAAACAGAAAACAACGACCACAUAAACCUGAAGGUGGCGGGACAGGAUGGGUCGGUGGUGCAGUUCAAGAUCAAGAGACACACGCCGCUCAGCAAACUCAUGAAGGCGUACUGUGAGAGACAGGGGUUGACAAUUAGGCAAAUCCGGUUCGGUUCGAUGGACAGCCUAUAAACGAGACAGACACACCUGCACAGUUGGAAAUGGAGGAUGAAGAUACGAUCGACGUUUUCCAGCAACAGACAGGAGGCCUCUACUAGCAUGUCAAGUACUCCCCCACAUCUUCCUCCACCCCCCAGACGGCUGCUUUGCAGCUUGUCCCAUUUUCCACCACAGAACCAAUACCAUGCGGAAGACUUCCUGCUCACAGUUAUACAUAACUGUUGAUGUAUAGUGUUUUCAUUCUUGCCUUUGUUUCCUUCCUGUUUUGUACAUAAACAACCUCCUCUAAAACAACUCAGAUUUGAGUAACAUUCAUACAAGGUGUGCUGCGAAUAAACGCAACCAGAUCCAGCUCUUAAAAAGUCCAUUGUUUUGGUGACUUGUUGGUUCACUUAUUCAGAGAUCAAGAAAAGCUAUUUUCCACCCGUUCACUGUUUGAGAAUAAGACUGGUUUGUUAUUCAACUUAAUUUUCUGUUGUCGAUUUCAGAAAAUUGGUUUUAUAUCUUUUUUAUAUAGUAGUGGUUGUGUAGAAUGAAACAUGUCUUGAACAUAGUUUGACUAGGCCAUGCUUGUAAUAAGGAAACCCUGAAGAGAUGUUUUAGUCCAGGUAAACAUCUGUAUUGUCUCAUAAAUGUCUUGUUAAAAUAAAGUUAUUCUCUCUUUUUAACCAAACUCAA